UGGGGAAUAUUGCACAAUGGAGGGAACUCUGAUGCAGCGACGCCGCGUGAGUGAUGAAGGAAUUCGUUUCGUAAAACUCUGUUCUAUGGGAAGAAAAGGACUGUACCAUAGGAGAAAGCUCCGGCUAAAUACGUGCCAGCAGCCGCGGUAAUACGUAUGGAGCGAGCGUUGUCCGGAAUUAUUGGGCGUAAAGGGUGCGCAGGCGGCUUUACAAGUUGGAUGUGAAAUAUUGUGGCUCAACCACAAACGUGCAUCCAAAACUGCAAAGCUUGAGUUAAGGAGAGGGAAGUGGAAUUCCUGGUGUAGCGGUGCAAUGCGUAGAUAUCAGGAGGAAUACCGGUGGCGAAGGCGACUUACUGGACUUAAACUGACGCUCACGCACGAAAGCGUGGGGAGCAAACAGG
rnacentral:rRNA from 1 species